rnacentral:rRNA from 1 species
CCUACGGGAGGCAGCAGUGAGGAAUAUUGGUCAAUGGACGAGAGUCUGAACCAGCCAAGUAGCGUGAAGGAUGACUGCCCUAUGGGUUGUAAACUUCUUUUAUAUGGGAAUAAAAUGUUCCACGUGUGGGUUUUUGUAUGUACCAUAUGAAUAAGGAUCGGCUAACUCCGUGCCAGCAGCCGCGGUAAUACGGAGGAUCCGAGCGUUAUCCGGAUUUAUUGGGUUUAAAGGGAGCGUAGGUGGAUUGUUAAGUCAGUUGUGAAAGUUUGCGGCUCAACCGUAAAAUUGCAGUUGAUACUGGCAGUCUUGAGUACAGUAGAGGUAGGCGGAAUUCGUGGUGUAGCGGUGAAAUGCUUAGAUAUCACGAAGAACUCCGAUUGCGAAGGCAGCUCACUGAACUGCAACUGACACUGAGGCUCGAAAGUGUGGGUAUCAAACAGGAUUAGAUACCCGAGUAGUC